rnacentral:tRNA from 1 species
GAGGGUAUGGCUCAGUGGCAGAGCAAAUGCCUAGCAUGCAUGAGGUCAUGGGUUUGAUCCCCAGUCCAUUA